rnacentral:rRNA from 1 species
ACGUACACUCCUGCGGGAGGCAGCAGUGGGGAAUUUUACGCAAUGGGGUAACCCUGACGUAGCGACACCGCGUGAGCGAAGAAGCCCUUUGGGGUGUAAAGCUCUGUCAGCUGGAACGAAAACAAUGACGGUACCAGCAGAGGAAGCAUCGGCUAACUACGUGCCAGCAGCCGCGGUAAGACGUAGGAUGCGAGCGUUGUCCGGAUUUAUUGGGCGUAAAGAGUUCGUAGGUGGUUUGUUAAGUUUGGUGUUAAAGAUCGGGGCUCAACCCUGGGACUGCACUGAAUACUGGCAGACUCGAGUGUGGUAGAGGCUAGUGGAAUUCCCAGUGUAGCGGUGAAAUGCGUAGAUAUUGGGAAGAACACCGGUGGCGUAGGCGACUAGCUGGGCCAUAACUGACGCUGAGGAACGAAAGCCAGGGGAGCGAAUGGGAUUAGAAACCCCGGUAGUCCCAU